rnacentral:rRNA from 1 species
UACAGAGGUCUCAAGCGUUGUUCGGAUUCAUUGGGCGUAAAGGGUGCGUAGGCGGCGAGGUAAGUCGGAUGUGAAAUCUCAGGGCUCAACCCUGAAACUGCAUUCGAUACUGCCUUGCUCGAGGACUGGAGAGGAGAUUGGAAUUCACGGUGUAGCAGUGAAAUGCGUAGAUAUCGUGAGGAAGACCAGUGGCGAAGGCGGAUCUCUGGACAGUUCCUGACACUGAGGCACGAAGGCCAGGGGAGCAAACGGG